rnacentral:rRNA from 1 species
UGAUCCUGGGCUCAGAACUGAGACGCUGGCGGCAUGGCCUUACACAUGCAAGUCGAACGGCCAGCAACGGGGGCAACCCUGGUGGCGAGUGGCGAACGGGUGAGUAAUACAUCGGAACGUGUCCUGUAGUGGGGGAUAGCCCGGCGAAAGCCGGAUUAAUACCGCAUACGCUCUACGGAGGAAAGGGGGGGAUCUUAGGACCUCUCGCUACAGGGGCGGCCGAUGGCAGAUUAGCUAGUUGGUGGGGUAAAGGCCUACCAAGGCGACGAUCUGUAGCUGGUCUGAGAGGACGACCAGCCACACUGGGACUGAGACACGGCCCAGACUCCUACGGGAGGCAGCAGUGGGGAAUUUUGGACAAUGGGGGCAACCCUGAUCCAGCAAUGCCGCGUGUGUGAAGAAGGCCUUCGGGUUGUAAAGCACUUUUGUCCGGAAAGAAAACCGCCGCCCUAAUAUGGUGGUGGGAUGACGGUACCGGAAGGGAU